CGCCGAUAUUCCUUGUAGGGAUAAAGUUCCAGGUCUUUCUUUGGGAGUCAGUUUCGAGACUUCUAGAGUCUCUGAUGCGUGGUGUGUGACUAAGGAAAAUAACAGCUGAAUCACAUCUAAAAGCGAAUCCUCCCAAGCAAACCAACCUACUUCCCUUUCUUUUUGGCGGGGUGGUGAUAAUACAGCAGGCCGCAGGCAGAAUGGGCGAUAGCCUGGCCCGGGCUUUCUUACUCUGGAACCUACCGGGGCCGGGAUGCAGGGGCGCCGACUGGUCCCCGCUGUCCGCCGGGGAAGCGGAGAGAGCGCAGCAUGCAGUGGGGCAAAAGCGGGGCGGUUAGGUGAGUGGGACCAGAGUUCGUGAGGGGACACAACAGAGUCGAGGAAAAAAGGGGCUCUUCCAAGGUUAUAGCGGCACGAGGGACGUGAAAAGCAGGGCCUCGUGCGCACGCUCGCCCACCGGCCACUCCGUACCGCCAAGUAGCACUGGCCGCGAUCGCCCGCUCGCCAGGACGAAGACGGCGACUCAGGGGCCCAGCCGCGCCCGCGCAUGCGCCGCAGCCCCUCCUCCGCUCCCCUCCCUCUUCCUGGCGGGUCUGGGGCGGCGGCGGCGCGGUGACGUCAGGGCGCUGGGGCAGCUCCUGUGACAGACGGAGCUGGAGCGGCGGGGCGGCGGCGGAGUCCGACGGCCGAGAUAGCGAGUGAGGGAGCGAUUGAACAGCGGCCCGAGGGUCUAGAGAACGAGAAAGGGCAGGAAGGAAGCGCUCGGGCGCGAGCAACAGAAACCGCGAGCGCUGGGCUUGGGCUCGAGCCCCGGAACGGCUGAAGAGCCCGCCCGCUUCCCUCCCCUCCCCCUCCCGAGGACCGGGCCCAGCGCGCCAUCCUCCCCUCCCUCCUUCCCUCCCUCCCUCCUUCCUCCCUUCCCUCUCCCUCCCCCUUCCCCCCGCCGGUGGAUGGGAGUGAAGGACGGAAGAGGCCCUGCGGACGCGGCGGUGCAGCGCUCCGGUAAGGCGCCAAGGGUCUGCACCCUCCCCUCUGUCUCCUCCACCGCGCUCGGGCGGCUGCGGGCUGGGCCCGGCGGCCUGACGAUGUGGCUGCGCCGGUCCCCUCCCUCCCUUUCUCCCCUCCCCCUGCCGCCGCCGCCUCCUUCUUCUUCUCUCCUCGCUCUCAAAAUGGCGGCCGCGACGGCCGUUGAGUGAGGCUCGGAGGAGGGGGGGCCCUGGCCGGGGAGGGCGCUGCCCUCACUUGCGUCCUUCAGGCCCGGGUUCGGGGGCCGCCGGGACCGUCGCGACUCUUCCCCGCGGCCCUGUCGGCAGGGGAUCGCCCUCCUCCCGCGGUGACUUAGCAAGAAAAGAAACGCAGUACCUGAAUCUAUUUAGCCUAUCCCAGGUGAGAAAAUGCCUUUGAGGUGGUGGGCAAAUUUUGACUCUAAACAUCACAGCAGAGAGGAGGAGGAGGAGGAGAAGGAGGAGGAGGAGGAGGAGGAGGUUAUCAGUAUCUGAGCUAGAAGAGAGAG
rnacentral:lncRNA from 1 species